rnacentral:rRNA from 1 species
UACAGAGGGCUCAAGCGUUGUUCGGAUUCAUUGGGCGUAAAGGGUGCGUAGGUGGCGAGGUAAGUCGGAUGUGAAAUCUCAGGGCUCAACCCUGAAACUGCAUUCGAUACUGCCUUGCUCGAGGACUGGAGAGGAGAUUGGAAUUCACGGUGUAGCAGUGAAAUGCGUAGAUAUCGUGAGGAAGACCAGUGGCGAAGGCGGAUCUCUGGACAGUGCCUGACACUGAGGCACGAAGGCCAGGGGAGCAAACGGG